ACAGAAUCCUGAAUGGCUCUAAGAGUGAGAGGCCAAGGUUGUAAUCAUCACAGUUGGGUACAAAAGAAGGGAUAAAAAUUAAUAAAAAAUAAAAAUUUGGAAAGAAGAGGACGGCCCAUGAAACGAAACUUAAACACUGAGAGUGAGAGGUGAAUUUGUCUUCAUCACCUUCCACAUUUUCUUAACUUCCAUUGUUCUACUCACCUUCUAACUAACAAUGGUCCAACAUAAUAAUUAAUCAAUGGACAUCACAAUCAGCAACGAGCCCCUUUCUUGCAAUUAAGGGCACCUGCUCCCACCGUUAUGGUAUCGACAAGUGAAGAAGGUCUAGCACUCAAGCU
rnacentral:misc_RNA from 1 species